GUUGAGGAUCAAGGUUAGCCCCCGUUUUGUUGCCAGGUUUAUACCGAACAACGUGCGGGGGUUUUCU
rnacentral:antisense_RNA from 10 species